AUCAACUAGCGGGAACACGAGGAGCAAAGUUGUGUUAAUUGUUUUAUUUAGAAUCUCUUCAAAUUUAAACGUGUAAUAACGAUAGCUUAUUAAUUGUUUAGCAUACAGAUGCAGAUUUCACAGGAAAGGACAUACAUGAUGCUAUUUUUUCCCCGUGGAAGUCAAUCAUGAACAAUUUGUUAAGUGCAUAAAAAAAUUACCAAAAAAUGGUAUUUGCCUGCGGGAUUCGAACACCGCCACAGUUGCAUCGCUAGAUACGUAUGCACCGGACGUCUUAUCCUUUAGGCCACGACGACUUCAAAAGAAGGAUAACGUCAGAAAUGAUAGCCGUAUGUUAUUUAUUUCAAACGAAACAUUAGAGACAGGACGAGCCAGUUUAAGAUGAUUCAGUUUAGAUUGAACAAAGGAUUAUUUCGAAGAUCAAGAUAUCCCGUAAGGCGGGCGAAGCCGAAGUCCCCUCUGCCUACGUGACCAAGACGGCGUACGGCUGGAACACUGGCCCGGUACCUUCACCCGUACACAGAGUAAAUAAAAAAUAUCGCUAAAAUAUCACUGGCCACUUAUAAAAAAACUUCCUUAUUGAUUAUCGCUAUUUUUAACACAUUUAGGAUUUGUAAUUUAAGAUUGUAUUAGUUAAUACGUGUUCAGCGUAUGUUUUUUUGAGUUUAAAAAAAUAUCGUUAAACUAGUAAUUAUAAUGUAUUACGUGUUCUCGUUACAUGCAAAGAUAUAAGAUAGUUUUACAGCACUAGGAUUAAGCUAUUAUAUUAACCCGUCUUUUCGAUGGUUAUGCAACAAAAUUGUUGUGUAUAAUAAUAAAUUGAAGACAGACUGAAAAUA